GACAGAGGGUGCAAACGUUGUUCGGAUUUACUGGGCGUAAAGAGCGCGCAGGCGGUCGGAUCAGUCGAAUGUGAAAGCCCCCGGCUCAACUGGGGAGGGUCAUUCGAUACUGUCCGACUCGAAGGCAGGAGAGGGAAGCGGAAUUCCCGGUGUAGUGGUGAAAUGCGUAGAUAUCGGGAGGAACACCAGUGGCGAAGGCGGCUUUCUGGCCUGUUCUUGACGCUGAGGCGCGAAAGCUAGGGGAGCGAACGGG
rnacentral:rRNA from 1 species